UUCUCAGCAGUCCAAGCACAUAUGAACUUGGGACCAAUAUAGAUGCCUUCAGAUGCCAAACGCACAUACAACAGGCCAGCCAGCUUCAUAGGUACAAAUCUCCUGACAGAUGCCCUUUAAAGACAGUUGAUGAAAGCCAAUGGAUCAGUUUUGGC